UGCAGCGGUGCGGAUGAUCGCCACAUGCGGUGUGUUAAGCAACUCGAGAAAGCUUUGCUAGGUGCAAGUGUUACUGCGAGGCAGUGCCGAAAAUACAAAGGCAGCGCCGAAAAACACAGCUGGUUGAUGACAGCUCUGAAACAGCAGUCCUGCCUCUCUUCAAUAUCUGAAGAGCACAUUAUGCCAUCAAGACAAUGCUCACUGCUGAAACAACACCACACGUUAACAGCAAGCGGAAGAGUAAGGUAUCUGCAGUUCAAGCAGUGCAAAGGUGUUCCUUCUAGAUCGGAUGGAGCUUGGAAGUAUUUCAAGAGGUUGUAGCUCAGGUGCCCAUGAGCCAAAGGGCCUUCAUUGUUGAAAAAGAUGUGUCGCCGGCAGACGCUGCUGUGCAAGGUGCUGCUUCUAUUGUUCUUGCGCCAGCUGUCACCCAUCACGCGGGCACCACUACGACUGGUUUUGCCACAAGCGCCUUGGUGUCCUGAUGUCGCACGGAAUUGUUGUGUGACCACAUCGUCAGCAAAGUAUGAAGCAUCAUCAUUUCCACCUCAUCCCCCCUCGCAAUUCUGGAUGGUGCAGCGUUCUCCAUUCAGCAAGAUGGAACAGUCAGGUGACCAAGC